rnacentral:misc_RNA from 1 species
UACGUAGGGUGCAAGCGUUAAUCGGAAUUAGUGGGCGUAAAGCGUGCGCAGGCGGUUGUGCAAGACAGGUGUGAAAUCCCCGGGCUCAACCAGGAACUGCAUCCGAAACUGGCAGGCUAGAGUCUUGUAGAGGGGGGUAGAAUUCCAGGUGUAGCGGUGAAAUGCGUAGAGAUCUGGAGGAAUACCGGUGGCGAAGGCGCCCCCCUCGACAAAGACUGACGCUCAGUCGCGAAAGCGUGGUGAGCAAACAGG